GAUCCUGAUCAUAACAACGUUUGUUUUCAUGGAAAAAAAUAUGGCGACUAAGAAACACUUAAUGUCAACAAGAUUUUCUGAUUGACAAGAGAAAAGGUCAAACAGGAACUUCAGUUGUGAACAUUGCAGAGAACACACCCAUCAGAAGAUGACCCUCAGAAAUAGGACAAUUAAUGAAUAAAAUGGACAGAGGCAGAACUGAAGGAGAUGCAUGAAAUGAGGAAUAUUUCAAAGAUUGCCUGAGCAUAACCACUGCUACUGGAUAAACAUAUGGCAAUAUAAAAGAGCAGGG